rnacentral:rRNA from 1 species
ACCCGCACAAGCGGUGGAUGAUGUGGUUAAUUCGAUGCAACGCGAAAAACCUUACCUACCUUUGACAUGUACGGAAUUCGCCAGAGAUGGCUUAGUGCUCGAAAGAGAACCGUAACACAGGUGCUGCAUGGCUGUCGUCAGCUCGUGUCGUGAGAUGUUGGGUUAAGUCCCGCAACGAGCGCAACCCUUGUCAUUAGUUGCUACAUUUAGUUGGGCACUCUAAUGAGACUGCCGGUGACAAACCGGAGGAAGGUGGGGAUGACGUCAAGUCCUCAUGGCCCUUAUAGGUAGGGCUACACACGUCAUACAAUGGAUGGUACAAAGGGUCGCCAACCCGCGAGGGGGAGCCAAUCCCAUAAAGCCAGUCGUAGUCCGGAUCGUAGUCUGCAACUCGACUACGUGAAGUCGGAAUCGCUAGUAAUCGUGGAUCAGAAUGUCACGGUGAAUACGUUCCCGGGUCUU